UAAACAAUGAAAGAUAUUAACAUAUAAUAAAUGAAUAACUAUUGUAAACAUAAAAAUUAAUAAUAACCGCAAAUAAUCAUAUAUUAAAUUAAAUUAAAUCUAAAACUAUUAUUGUUUGCAUAUUAUCUAAAGGACUAGUAAUCACAGUCUUAUUUGUAAGUUUGUCAGCCAUCUCAAGACAUCUAGGUCGCAUUAUGCAGUUGUUCGAUAUCACCAAUAAAUUUAGUUGUGCACUUAUCAUUGUUUAAUUGACUGUACUUUGCCACAAGUACAGAGAGGAGAUUCAAUCAUACCCCAUUUAUUCAAUAACUCGUUGCACCUAUCUUGUAUUGUUCUGAUUAUGUUUAAAGAAAUCAACCGUACUCAUGGAUAAUCAAAUCCUGGUUCCUUGACCACUGGAUUUGUAAUGUGGGUAGAAUUAUGACAUUGAAUUUAACCAUUUAACUAAAUAAAGCCAUUAUCUAUUUUUAUCUCAACUUCAAGAAUGAAACUGAAAAAAGUUUCAAAUCACCCAAACACAACUAAGUUAAUAUGUAUAUAAUAUAUAUAUUUUUAUAUAUGUAUACUUAAUAUAAAAAAAUAUAGGUGCAUAUUAUAUUUCACAAACUUUAAGCAACACAUCAAAAAUUUUAUUGUGAUGAAGUUUGAUAGCUUCUGUACUACAGUAUAGUUAGAGUAAGCUGUAUAUCUUCAGUUAAAACUGUACAAUUUUAUUAGUGCAGAUAAACGCAGUCGAAUUUGUAUUUAUUGUAGUUUUUUGUUGCAUUAUUG